UACGUAGGUGGCAAGCGUUGUCCGGAUUUACUGGGCGUAAAGAGCUCGUAGGCGGCUUGUCGCGUCGACUGUGAAAACCCGUGGCUCAACCAUGUGGUCUGCAGUCGAUACGGGCAGGCUAGAAUUCGGUAGGGGAGACUGGAAUUCCUGGUGUAGCGGUGAAAUGCGCAGAUAUCAGGAGGAACACCGGUGGCGAAGGCGGAUCUCUGGGCCUUACCUGACGCUGAGGCGCGAAAGCUAGGGGAGCAAACAGG
rnacentral:rRNA from 1 species